rnacentral:lncRNA from 1 species
GAAAAAGACCAUCCAUGUUUCCCCAUCAUUGAGGAUUACAGCAAAACCAUCAGGGGAAUUUGGGUUGUAGCGUUGCCUGAGACUCCAUGGUAAAGAAACCCUACAGGUUGAUGGAGGAAACAACUAACAGGACUCUGGUAACUGACCUUCACCAGGAUACUCAUCUGGGGUCCACAAAACUUUCUGAGUGGCUCAGACCAAGUUCCACUUCUGGCUAACUGUUCUUGUCAACUGAAGUAUGUCAACCCAGGACAUGUUUUUUGUGCUUACAAGCCCACCUUGGAGAAGGCUCAGGUCUAUACUGGAAUCCCAAACAUCUAAUGUAGUUGCUGGCU